GACGAACGCUGGCGGCGCGCCUAACACAUGCAAGUCGAACGAGCGAGAGAGAGUUUACUUUUUCGAGCGAGUGGCGAACGGGUGAGUAACGCGUGAGGAACCUGCCUCAAAGAGGGGGACAACAGUUGGAAACGACUGCUAAUACCGCAUAACAUAUAGAUGUCGCAUGGCAUUUAUAUCAAAGAUUUAUCGCUGAAAGAUGGCCUCGCGUCUGAUUAGCUAGUUGGCGAGGUAACGGCCCACCAAGGCGACGAUCAGUAGCCGGACUGAGAGGUUGAACGGCCACAUUGGGACUGAGAUACGGCCCAGACUCCUACGGGAGGCAGCAGUGGGGAAUAUUGGGCAAUGGGCGCAAGCCUGACCCAGCAACGCCGCGUGAAGGAAGAAGGCUUUCGGUUGGUAAACUUACUUUUGUUCUAGGACGAGUAGAAGACGGUACCUGACGAAUAAGCACGGCUAACUACGUG
rnacentral:rRNA from 1 species